rnacentral:rRNA from 1 species
CCUACGGGAGGCAGCAGUGGGGAAUCUUGCGCAAUGCACGACAGUGUGACGCAGCAACGCCGCGUGGGGGAAGAAGGCCUUCGGGUUGUAAACCUCUUUCAGGAAGGACGAAGCCUCGGCCGCGAAUAGCGGUCCGAGGUGACGGUACUUCCACAAGAAGCCCCGGCUAACUACGUGCCAGCAGCCGCGGUAAUACGUAGGGGGCUAGCGUUGUCUGGAAUCAUUGGGCGUAAAGCGCGCGUAGGCGGCCAGAUAAGUCCGGUGUGAAAGUCACAGGCUCAACCUGUGAAUGCCGCUGGAAACUGUCUGGCUAGAGUCCGGAAGGGGCGAGUGGAAUUCCUGGUGUAGCGGUGAAAUGCGCAGAUAUCAGGAGGAACACCAAUGGCGAAGGCAGCUCGCUGGAACGGUACUGACGCUGAGGCGCGAAAGCGUGGGGAGCGAACAGGAUUAGAUACCCUGGUAGUCCACGCCGUAAACGAUGGGCACUAGGUGUGGGAGGUGUCGACUCCUCCUGUGCCGAAGCUAACGCAUAGUGCCCGCCUGGGGUGUACGCGCGAGACGUUAACGUACGAAGAGUUGNGGCGNGAGAGNGCGACGGACGACGACGAGGGAGGAGG